rnacentral:rRNA from 1 species
AUAGUCUAUUGGUAGCCGUACUGGAAACCGACACAGGUGGACAAGUAGAGAAUACUAAAGCGUUGAGACAACUCGGGUGAAGGAACUAGGCAAAAUAGCACCGUAACUUCGGGAGAAGGUGCGCCAAUUGUAGUUGUAGGCAUUUACUGUCGAAGGCGAGAUUGGUCGAAGAUACCAGGUGGUUGCGACUGUUUACUAAAAACACAGCACUCUGCAAACACGAAAGUGGAAGUAUAGGGUGUGACUCCUGCCCGGUGCUGGAAGGUUAAUUGAAGGGGUUAGCUCACCUUCAGAUAAUUUUUAAGAUACGAGGCAUCGCGAGUGAGCACGAGGGAGUGU